CAGUACCUCUGCAAUGUUAUAUAAUACACAUUAACAUGACUUUAUCUGAAAAUGGCUUACUGGAAUUAUUAUGGGUUGUAUGCCUAGUGUAUGGCAUAAAAAGAGACAAACAUGGAAAAGAACAACAGAGCCAGUAUAGUGUGGAGAUGGUGUGCUGUGGUGUUCUUGGGUGUGCACUGAUUCACCCAGAUGUCAGGAGAGCAUCUAUUUCCUGUUUUUUAAUUAUGAUUUCAGCUAUUAUUCACUUCCCAAUAUAACGAAUUGCAAUAGUUUAUCUAUGACCAUCUCAGUGUAUUUUAGUUACUGCCUGUUUUGGGGAGAAACAGCUGAACGGAGUGGGAGAACCAGAGAAGAGCUGUUCAGUGAUUUAUUACUCUAAAUUGGACCUGGUUUAGUACAUGCAAAAGGAGUAGUGCCCCUGAUGUCUGGAAUGUAAAAGCAGCCACAUCUUAAGAUCUGGACAAGAGGUUCUAUCAAGAUAGUGUUCUCCUCUUUCAGUGGCAGAGAAGGGAGUUCUGAAUUGCUGGAGAUAAAUUCGCAUCCUUCCCACCAGAGAAAGCCCUCACUGUUGCACUGAACUAUGAAAUAGAAGCCAGGCAUCUCCUAAUAACUUAGUUUCCAAAAGAAGAAACUAUCAUCCUAGACAGGACUGCCAACAUUACCAUGGAAACCCCCAAAAAUAAAGACUCUCCCAGCCUUGCGAGAGCGCACCUGCAAGAACAAGAAUUGCCUGUCAAAAGCGACUCUCCUUCAUUAUUGGUGUCAGCUAAGGACAAUUUUCAUGGAGUGAUAUUCCCUGGACAUUAGUGAUUCAUGUGAACUCCAGAUCACUUCAGCGAGGCGCAGUCUUACAAGGAAGGACAUGCAACAUAUUACAGAUGACAACCUUAAAAAGGAUCUGAAACUAAUCAGCAAUUGCAUCUUCCGUAAGUGAAAUCAGUCCACCUUAUAAAACCAUCUCAUAGGGGAGGAAACAUCCGACAGUAAUAUUAAAUGAAUUAAGAACAAAAACAGGUACAACUAUGGCUAAAACAAUAGUUUGGGGGAAGCUUUGAAAAAAUAUUUUGACUUUUUUUAAAUCAUAUUGCUAUCAGAUAGAUUUACUAGUUUUUAAAAGUCUGUUUUACUGAAGCUUCUGAGCACCAUUCUACAUUUGCAAAGCAUGUUUAUCAUCCAGGAAAAGUUUUCUACAGCCCGCUGUUAUUUUCAAAGGAAAAGGGAAAAAUACAGCAAAGGCUUCAAAGACAUGAGUGAAUUAUUUCAUCUCCUUACAAGUGCAGCAUGUCCUCUCUCUUCUGUAAUGACACAGUACAGAAAACGAGAUGCAAUUCAUGCAAUUCCUUUGGCAAAUGAGUGUGAUCUUAUAAAGAAUUGGCACAUAAUUCUAAUUUGAGCUUUAUUGUCUUAAACAAAACCAAACUUAAUACAGAACAUUAUAAUGUACUAACAGGAUCCUUCAACAGAUAUUUUUUUUCCCUCAAUACAAGUGACUGCAAAGUGCUGGGCCUGUAAUUCCAAGGAUACUCGGUGUCCAAAACAGCAAUAUCUAUGCAGCCAGGAAUUUUUGUGUAUUACAGUACAAUCACAUAAGUGAACCAGAGAAGAAUAUUUGGCCUUUUGCUAUUUUAUGUACCAAGACAGAAAAGCAUGCCUUUUCCUCUCUUCUACCCCAAUGAACAGAUGUGGUUUUAAUCACAUACUGAAAAAAACAAUGCUCACAAGUUUCAAACUGACUUUGAAAUUUAGGAGUAAAAUUAUUUUUCAAAGAAAGUGAUUUUCAUCUAAUUAUCUUGAAACUGUCCAUAAAAGAAAGACAGGCAAGGAACUGGAUAAAUACACCAAGUAGAGGUUGGGUUGUUUGUUCGUUUUUCCAGUUGGAGAGAAAAUUAAGCUAAUUUUGAUAAACAACAAAACCUGUCGCAAGACAAGAAAUUUUAAAAGAAGCCUCAAGGUCCAACUUAGAAAGAUUAUAGGACGUCCAUCGAUAACUAGAUUCUAUAGAACAGUAUAAAUCCAGAUGCUACUGAACUCAAAGUUGGAGACUAAGUCGAUACAUAAGGUUACAGUUGGGAAACUGGCACCAGGAGCUGCUACAACUCUAUGCCAGCCACUAACCUACAUCCAUGGUAUCCAGCUCACUCGCCACUGCCCCCAACUAGAAAACACGCCAUAAAUACGUAAAGUCAGAUUAGCCGUUCUUCUGAAUUGCAUUCCAGCUCUUGGACAAACUGUGUGUGAAAUACAGUUCCAGGGAACACAGAUUACAGGCAACUCUUCAAUGAAGACCGAUUUUAAAAGGACGUUAUGUGGUAUUGAGGUAGCGGAAAUGUGCACACAGAGAGAAUAGGUACGUUUCUAAUGUAAUCUGGACCUCAAUUAGCAUGAACUAUCUUUAUGAAUAUGGCCCGUAUGAGGAUAACAUGCACAGUGGACAAAGGGAUCUCUGUUCCACAUCUGGGUGUUGUACCAGAAGCAGAGGGUGGAGGGAGGUGAAAUGUGGGACUCUGAUGUGAAAGUGCAUGAUGGUGGCAUCUGGCAACCAUAAGAGACAAAAUGAGGCAGCGGAGGGCGUCUGGCUGCUUGCCAGCCAGGGCAUACCCAAGGACAACAAUAGAUUUUAACCCAUGCAGAAAGGUCAGGAUGGUAGGAACAGAAUUAUGAGUCAUGUUCAUACUUUGGCUGCAAAUUUCGAAGCUUUAUAGAGUUUUGGGAAAACUCUACCACAACAUCCUACAAUCGAUUUUAAAACCACAUGCCGUCAAACUUCAUCACAAACGACCAGGUCCACAGAACAUCUAGACAUAUAGCUCCCACUGAAAAUCAAUGACAGUUCAGUCCCUAAAUACUUGCACAGUUCUGACCAAAUAUUUUAUUUUUUUUUCCUUUAAAAAUAUAAAUUCCACCCUCUCAUUGAAACAAACCUCUCUUGCUCAUAGCUUUUUUCAGUCCUACAUUUCACUGUAACUUUUUAUGAGUAUUAUACCCUGCAGUGCCCUAACCAGCAGCACGUAUAAGUUUCAACAAUAGUGCUCGUCUGUCUCUGGAGCUCGUUCCACACACUUCAACAACUGCUCUUCAGCCUGUUCAGAUGCCACCGGCUCCAUUUAAAGGUGUUUGGGACAAACUCCUCUAACAUGACAGUGACAAGUGAAGACAAGAUUAGAGUCAGUAUUAAGGAAAUUUCAUGCAGAUUUUCUCGCAAUGCCUAGGACCAAUCUGAGUUUCUAAAAAGGGAGUUUUUAAUUAUGAGCAGAGAAACAAUAGCUCACUUCAACAUGAAAAAGAGCACACCCACUAUUUUUCCAUGCUCUGUAAUUUAAAAGUAGGUCGACCCAUUAGGUUUAAAGCUUUCAAAAAUAUUAAAACUGAAAUACAGGAUUCAAUUUCCUUUUUGUUUUUUAAGCCAGACCCAGAGACUGAAAAGUUUCAGACUAAUGGCUACUUUAAGAUGAUAAAAGGGGAUGAAGUUUUUGAACUAUGAAUCUAAUACUGCCAGAACAGAUUGAUUCCAUAGUAAAUUUUUAAAGAGAAAGUGAAUUUUUAAACACCAACUAAAUUUGAAGCAUUUAAAUAAGACCAGAGCAUUAACUGCACACCAAUUCAGAAGUGCCACAGGCCUGUAAUCCGUCACACUGCACAUAUAGAUCUACCUGACUUUUUCUCACUUUUUUUCCAUGAUGUGCACGUCCAGAAUGCAAACCGGGGCCAAAAUACACCUGAACAGCAUGCCUACCAAUUCAAGAGACUUCCUAUAAUCAAUGUGAAUCAGACAGAAUCGAUACAUACUGAAAAAAUUGACUAGAAAAUGGCACUUAUUUUUUUUUUUACUCUGUUCUUUAAAAACAUAACAUAACAUAAAUUACUAUCUUGGCCAUUUGGUAACUGAUGACCACAGAAUUAUAAUUAGUGGGACAUUGUCUCCCAAGCACCUUCUGCACAAACUGGAGGAACAUCUUGUAUACACUGAGUAUGAAACAGAAAGUCCCUCGGUUCAUCAGCACCUCAGUGCCCAACAGGCACUGCUCUUUUGAGGAACAAUCCUAGACUCAGCAGUUUGCCUGAAUUUCAACCACACAAAGCCUCACCAUUGCUAAAAACCAGACAAAGGCCAAUCAGACCUGGCCUGGCUCUGCUGCUGAUGCUCUGAACGCAAAUGGAGAUCCUGUGAACUCAACUGACUGAAUGAGCUGAAGAGUGAAGCACCCCAAAGGGCAGGGAAGAAGAAGCAGUGUCAAACCACCCCGUUGUGAGUCCAUCGUGGCAUCUGUAUGGGCUCCUGGUGCCAGCGGUCGGAUCUAGAAACAAACUCAUAGCUCCGUGCUGAUGAUGGUGAACCUGAGGUUAAUGCUGUUCUCCUCACUGGCUCAUGGAAAUGUUCAGGGCAGGGAGGCGAGAGACACGGGAGCUACUGCAGAGAAUCUGGGUCAUCCAAAGGCUGGUUAAACAAACUCAGGGAUACAAGCGGCUCGCAGCAGCCUAGCACACCCUGAAUCACACCCUCCAAGUUAUUUCCAGAAUCCUAACAGCCACUGCAGUCUAAGACCGUCUUGGGGUUUCCAUCUGAAGCCCAGAUCCUGUAAUAAACACUCUUGCAGGAUUCAGGGCCAUGUUCCAUGCUUUUCAGGAUUCUCUGUCCUUAGACUAAAGUUCAGGUUCCUGACACCCAGGCAAACCUGGAGAAAAACACAUCGUUUUAAAAUCUUGGUAGGCAAGUCAAACUCCGCCAAAACCCAACUACUCUGAGGUAUCUCCAAGCUGCCUUCACUUUACUCUAACUAAUUUGAUUUUAAAACCGAAGUUUAGCAACUCAUUAGUAAUCGCUUUUUGAGUAUUUAUUUAUUUAUUUUGUUGGGGGAGGAAGGGAGGGAAGAGAGGGAAAUCGAGCUAUUUAGCUUUCCAAGUAUUUAACAUAAAACCCAAAAGAGCUCCAUCUGGCAACCAGCAGGAAUUCGAAAUAAUCUAAAUAGUAUCUACAUAAGGACCAGGCUGUCUAUGGAGCAAGACAACUUCAACUUUUACAGCCACAAGAAACCUUUAUUAACAUAAAAGGAAAUUAUAAAAAAUUAAGUUAGAACAGGAACAAGAGUCUGGCGAGCUGCCAAAAGACCCCAGGAAUCUCUGCAUUAAUCUGGAAAUGCUGCUUUUGACUAUUGGAAUAUAGCAUCUUACACUGUGUGGUUUUGAAAAAAAACCAAACAACAAAACCAAACAAAAAUAAACCCUUAAGUUCAAAGGACUUCAGUACAAUAAAACCAGUUCUAGAAAAAGAUUCAGAUUAAUGAAAAUCAAUAUGUAAUUCCUCACUCUGUUUGUAGAAAAUAUUAAUAUUUAAUUACACAGACUUCAUUGAGUCAUGGAUGAGGCCCUUCAUGUCCAUAGAUGUCUGUCUUCAUUAAGGAAAUGGCUCAGAAUACCACUGCUAAUUAUGCUAAUUAAAUAUACCUUUGAACUACUCUUACAUAAAAGUGCUGAUAAUUCGUAAUUCCCAAGUAAAUAAACACCUCUCAGAGUACACAGUAUUUUAAUUUUCCAAGUUAUUCCCAUGAAGGAUCUGGCCUUGCACUUCACAACUACCCUGUAUAUUUUUGGCUGGUUUCUGAAUGAUCCAAUCUUGGUGGUGGUUUGCUGUGCUAUGUGAAAUAUUGUAAUGGUCUUGAUGCUCCUGUCAAGCUGCCGCUGGGAUUUUGCCACUUUCUUGGCAAAAAGUCAGAAUGAAACCACUGCCCACCCCCAAAAAAAAACCCACGUUAUUGUGAUCCUGUGAGGAUGGGGCAGCCUUGACACUCUGCGUUUCCACUGUCCCUGGGCUACAGGAAGAGAAUUUCUAUCUUUAUCAUUGCCCAUCUGGCACCUUUCACAGGCAGCAAGAACAAAGAAAUAAAAUGUACUGGUCCCUACCAUCUGCUUCUGCUUGUAAAGUCUAUAAAGAGCCUCAUAGUGAAGAAAGGGGGGGAAAAAAAGUAAAAAGCAACCCUUUCAUUUCCCACCAAACUGUUCUGGCAGGUACACAUUUUUGCCUGUACUUCUUACAGAUCUUAGGGCAACCCUGGAGGCCCAUAGUUCCCUACAGCAAUGCAGCUGCUCAGCACAGAGCAUCCCCAACGCUCCUAGCCCACACCUUCAUCCGCGAGCGUCUAACGACCCAGAAAGAAAGGUUGCGUUGUUUGAGAUCUGCUUAUUGGAUCAGCCUCUGUUUUAUCUAGAACGGGAAAAUUCCAGUGGGUUUAAUAGGAGGUAUUACCCUACAGAUUUUCUCUGGUUCCACCUCCUUUCCCAUCAGCCACGUCCCCUCUUGCUGCAAAGCUGCAUACACCAUGUGCUGGCUCGACCCUUUCUGUCUCUGACAGAAGUUUGGCCAAAAAAGAGCAGAUUUUCUGCUACUUUGAUCAUUUCCUGUGGUAAAAAGUGAAGGGAAUUAUCUGACCCAUGGUCUUUUUUCUCUUAGUUUUGAAAAAUAACAUCGAUUUACAUUUCAAGUUCCCUUACUUGCUUUUCAAUAGCAUUUUACUGCUAGUUUACUGGUUGUCUUACAGAACUUUUUUUGAGAGUCACAAGAGAACACAUUGCUCCCACCUCAAAUGUGGAGAUUCAGCUGCUGUAUUAAAUGAAUAAUGAACUUCACUAUGAUGAAGCAGCAACCAAAAGGUAAUAUCAAACUCAAGGACAAUACAAAAGUGACAACUUCUCCCCUGUCAAAAAAUCUUACACUUAAAAAAAUAAGGUUAAUUCUCUUUUGGUGGGGGCAGCGUUAUUUUUGGCUACAAGAGUGCAUUGCAUAAUGUGUUUAGAAAUAAGUUAACCCUUUUAUUAAAUGCUCUAUUAGAAUAGAUGUAUGACGUGAUAUAAGGACCCUGAAAUAUUAAGUUUCCUUCUGUCAACAUCACCAGAGUUUCUGAUCAAAAGUCAUAUCUCAUGCUCAUUUAAGCAUAUGUUGAAAUAGUGACACAACCUGUUGACCUAAAUGGUGUAAGCACUUGGGCAGCAAGGGCCUAAAGGAUGACACCAAGUGAUAACAGUGACCUCGACAUGGCCUGAAGCUGCACCCUGAAUGCCAGUCCAUUAUCUGUUUGUUCUGUCCCAGAGAGUACAAAGUAAACAACGUCCCUACUGAAAUCAUGUCUUGUAUCAGAAUUAAUACUCUAUAGGAAUACAUUCCAAAUAAAUUAUCACAAUAGACAUUAAGCCUUCGUAAAUGUGGCACCACAGCAUUUAAAAUAUACAUUAUGUUCGUGCUUAGUAGUGAAACCACACACUUUCAGCUCAGAAAACACAACAAUGUCCCUAUGUGUGUAUAUAGACUUUUUCCUGUUAAUCAUUUAUCAGAAUACAUAAACCCAGUUGUAGUUGUUUGUAUCAAAAGCCUUGGGUUUUUUGAACUUUACUGUACUAAUUCUAUGAAUAGCAUAGAUGUUGAUGGAUAU